AGCAGAGUGGCGCAGUAGACGCGUGUUGGGCCCAUAACCCAGAGAUCUAUGGAUCGAAACCAUCCUCUGUUA
rnacentral:tRNA from 1 species